ensembl:lncRNA
CCCCGGGGCCGUAGCAGGUCAAAAGGCCGACUGAGGCUCCCUGACUUUUACUGGAAACAGCAAGUUGCCUGUUUUACAUCCAUGGAGGACAGACGUCUGCUUGGCGUAUCAGGAAACGGGUAUGCCGGCAGGAUAUACUGGAGGCAGGAUUGAUGGAUCAAGAGCCUGCUCUUUGUCAUUGAGUCCCACGGAGGAGGCACCUGUGCAGCUGAAUCUUGAAGGAAGUCAUUCCCUCUCCUGUUCAAGUCAUCCCGCCAGUCCGCCCCAUUGUCUUUGCUUCUUAUGACCUCCUUGCCCCCUCCUUCCUGCCUGUAACCUGCACCCACCCCAGGUG